ACACAGCAUGAAGGGGCUGCUCUCGCUCAACAUGGUAUUGAUAUCAAGUCUUGGGAGAGUUUUGGGAUUUCAAAAAUCAGAAGAGCUUCUGAAUAUUGAAGGGCGAACAAACAUAGACUUUCCUCUAUUUUGUGAUAUCAUCGACCAUGAACUUUUACAAGUCAUCAGAAAUGCGCCCCCUACCGACAGUGUGGAGGACCCGUAUGAACUGUACAGGCUGUGUUGGAAUAUCUUUCAUGACCAUCACUUCACAAAAUCGGAGUUCAAUCUCUACAAAACAAGUGAACAAAAUCUUUUCAAGAUGUGGAUGAUUUUUAUUUUGUUGUCUGAAGACAAUGAAAACGGUGUUCCAAGUGGACCCCCGGAAAUCGAUCGAGAGGAAAUGGCCAUCUUGUUCCGGUCUUUUGUGUCAAUAUCCGGUCUGACAGUACUCGAAGACAAGAUCCAAGAAUUAGAAGCGGCCUCAGGGAAUUUGAGAUUUGUCGAGUUUAAGGAUAUGUUCAUUGGUCUAUUCGGUUCCCAAUUAGGAGAUAGCGAUUUUGAAUAUUACCUUACCAAAGUCUUUGAGCUUUAUAUCAACGAUAUUUUUCAAAAGGGCAUGCUCUGUAAGAGGGGCUACCAGGUGAAACAUUGGAAGGACCGCUGGUUUGUCCUGAGGAAGAACUGCCUUAAGUACUACACGAACAUGCAAGAGAAGGAACUGAAGGGCUGUAUUAACAUCGUAAAGGACUGCAGGAUAGAGCUUUAAACCUGGCCAUCGGUAAGUGUGAAGACCCGGAUUUCCACUACCACAAACAUCAGUCCAAACAGAGGCAGGCCAAACGGCGGGAGAAGAAGAAACGGGAACAGGAGGAGGUGCAGAAGAAGAUGGCGGACGAGGAAACUCUCCGGCGUCUACAGGAAGAGUACAACGAGCGCCAUCGACAAGAUGAACUGCGUCUCCAAGAACAGAUCGAGGCCCUGGAGGCUGAGAAGCUUGUGCGGGAGGAUUUGGAAUCUCGGCUGCUGAGGGAAGCGGCGCUGAGAGAGGUUGAGAAGCGUCGUAUGCGAGAGCUAGAGGAAGUGAAGAAAGAACUACAGCGCCUCCUAGAGGAGGAGAGGCAAGCCAAACGUGACGAGGAGAUCGUCCGUCAACUGCAGGCAAGUCUGCUAGAAGAGGAGUCCCAGAAACGCGAGGAGCUGGAGAGACUUCGUCACGAGCAGGAAGAACUACUGAGACAGGAGCGACAGGAGAGGGAGGGACUGGAGGGGGUGAGGGAGAAACAGGAGAGUCUCCUGAGGGAGGCCCAAGACAGGCUACAGCAGCUGGAGGUGGAGAGACAGGCGGCCAACGCGGAGCUCCAGGAAGCAUCGAGUAAACUGGAGAGGGCCGAGAAAGACCGCAUCAUCGCCGAGGCCAAAAUGAAGCUGUGGAAAACGCCCACCAUAGGAUUAGCUCGGCCGGUGCUCCCUAAAUAUGACCCCUUCAUAACUCACCGCGGGGAGGGCGCGUUCUGCGACAAAGACUUCAAGAAGAGAAGUGUGGGAAAAGAGCAUCUUGACGAAGAGACAAAAGAGAGUGGGUCUGAACAAACAAACAAUGUAUCCGAAAAAAGUGGAGAAAAAUAUACAUCGGAAAACCAUGUUGGCAUAGAUGAGGUAGAAAAUACUAGAUCUGAAAACCAUGUUGAUGCAGAUGGGGUAGAAAAAAAUAAAUCAGAAAAAACUGUUGAUGUGGAUGAGGUAGAACGCGUUGAACCUAAAAACCAAGUUAAGGUGAGCGAGGUGGAACCAACGGCAGACGACAAUGGUUCGAGUGACGACAAACUUAAUGAUGACGUCAGUAAUGACGUUGAUAAGAAUAUUGAGAUUCCUGAUAAACCUAAAAGAAGGGGACUCUCCGAUUCACAAAAUAAGGCAUUGGAAAACCACGUGACCGGAGAUACGUCACUGGAGACGGAGUUACGGAUCGUUGAAUAGCAAAGAGGACCGGUGUAUAUAAAUUGUCUUUGUAGUAAAUUAUAUAUUUUUCAUUAAAUUAUUUCUGAAAUG
rnacentral:misc_RNA from 1 species